CGGGGGGAGCAAGCGUUGUUCGGAUUUACUGGGCGUAAAGGGCGCGUAGGCGGCCAGCGCAAGUCAGUUGUGAAAUCUCCGGGCUUAACUCGGAAAGGUCAACUGAUACUGCGCGACUAGAGUGCAGAAGGGGCAACUGGAAUUCUCGGUGUAGCGGUGAAAUGCGUAGAUAUCGAGAGGAACACCUGCGGCGAAGGCGGGUUGCUGGGCUGACACUGACGCUGAUGCGCGAAAGCCAGGGGAGCGAACGGGAUUAGAUACCCCGGUAGCCCUGGCCUUAAACGAUGGAUGCUUGGUGUCUGGAGUUUUAUAGUCUCCGGGUGCCGUAGCUAACGCGUUAAGCAUCCCGCCUGGGGAGUACGGUCGCAAGACUG
rnacentral:rRNA from 1 species